rnacentral:rRNA from 1 species
GAUGAACGCUGGCGGCGUGCCUAAUACAUGCAAGUCGAGCGAACAGACGAGGAGCUUGCUCCUCUGACGUUAGCGGCGGACGGGUGAGUAACACGUGGAUAACCUACCUAUAAGACUGGGAUAACUUCGGGAAACCGGAGCUAAUACCGGAUAAUAUAUUGAACCGCAUGGUUCAAUAGUGAAAGACGGUUUUGCUGUCACUUAUCGAUGGAUCCGCGCCGCAUUAGCUAGUUGGUAAGGUAACGGCUUACCAAGGCAACGAUGCGUAGCCGACCUGAGAGGGUGAUCGGCCACACUGGAGAUGAGACACGGUCAAGACUCCUACGGGAGGCAGCAGUAGGGAAUCUUCCGCAAUGGGCGAAAGCAUGACGGAGCAACGCCGCGUGAGUGAUGAAGGUCUUCGGAUCGUAAAACUCUGUUAUUAGGGAAGAACAAAUGUGUAAGUAAAUAUGCACGUAUUGACGGUACCUAAUCAGAAAGCCACGGCUAACUACGUG